GUUGUAGAAAUGAUGAAUAUCAUGUCUCUUCUCUGACUUUUUGAUGAAGAGAAUCUUGUUAUUUCUGAUCUUUAAG